rnacentral:tRNA from 1 species
GGGCCUAUAGCUCAGUUGGUUAGNNACCCCUGAUAAGGGUGAGGUCACUGGUUCGAAUCCAGUUAGGCCCACCA